rnacentral:lncRNA from 1 species
GAGGAGGAAACCACAUUUGAGAAAAUAUUCUCUCCAGAUUGGUUUGGGGGCAAAUGGGUGGUAAAUUUUCUUGGUGAUUCCUGUGGGAAGCUCACUGUGGGUGGGGCCACCCCUUGGUUGGUUGUCCUGGGUGCUAUAGGAAAGCAGGUUGAGCAAGCCAUGGGGAUCAGCUAGUGGAGGAUCACCUUUUGUAACAGUCAAGUCUGACUGCUUUAUAGCCAUGCCAAGGACUUGUAUGCCAGAACCUAGGCCUCUGCCUACCUUUCCAUGAUCGCAAUCUGUAUCUAGUACCAGCAGUUACUUCAUGGCCUCAGUUAAACUUGAGCAUCUCAGUUCCAGGUUCCCAGACUUACCAUUUACUAUUCUAAUUUUGUUUUUUUUUUCCUCCAGUCCUGCUUCAUUUAUACAAUGCUCAUUGCUCAUCUGGGCUGAAUUUCCUUUGCGUUUCAUAAAUUUUCUACCAUGUAGGGCACUCCUCCC